GACGAACGCUGGCGGCGUGCCUAAUACAUGCAAGUCGAGCGGACGAAUCGAAAGCUUGCUUUUGAUUCGUUAGCGGCGGACGGGUGAGUAAUACGUGGGCAACCUGCCCUGUAGACGGGGAUAACACCGAGAAAUCGGUGCUAAUACCGGAUAACACGAAAUGUCGCAUGACGUUUCGUUGAAAGACGGCGCAAGCUGUCGCUACAGGAUGGGCCCGCGGCGCAUUAGCUAGUUGGUGAGGUAACGGCUCACCAAGGCGACGAUGCGUAGCCGACCUGAGAGGGUGAUCGGCCACACUGGGACUGAGACACGGCCCAGACUCCUACGGGAGGCAGCAGUAGGGAAUCUUCCGCAAUGGACGAAAGUCUGACGGAGCAACGCCGCGUGAGCGAAGAAGGCCUUCGGGUCGUAAAGCUCUGUUGUUAGGGAAGAACAAGUAACGCAGUAACUGGCGUUACCGUGACGGUACCUAACGAGAAAGCCACGGCUAACUACGUG
rnacentral:rRNA from 1 species